UGGGGAAUAUUGGACAAUGGGCGAAAGCCUGAUCCAGCCAUGCCGCGUGUGUGAAGAAGGCCUUUUGGUUGUAAAGCACUUUAUGCGAGGAGGAGGCUACUUGGAUUAAUACUCUAGGAUAGUGGACGUUACUCGCAGAAUAAGCACCGGCUAACUCUGUGCCAGCAGCCGCGGUAAUACAGAGGGUGCGAGCGUUAAUCGGAUUUACUGGGCGUAAAGCGUGCGUAGGCGGCUUCUUAAGUCGGAUGUGAAAUCCCUGAGCUUAACUUAGGAAGUGCAUUCGAUAGUGGGACGCUAGAGUAUGGGAGAGGAUGGUAGAAUUCCAGGUGUAGCGGUGAAAUGCGUAGAGAUCUGGAGGAAUACCGAUGGCGAAGGCAGCCAUCUGGCCUAAUACUGACGCUGGGGUACGAAAGCAUGGGGAGCAAGCAGG
rnacentral:rRNA from 1 species